rnacentral:rRNA from 1 species
GUAGGAGGCAAGCGUUAUCCGGAUUUACUGGGCGUAAAGCGUGUGCAGGCGGCUUGAUAAGUCGGACGUGAAAGUUCCCGGCUCAACUGGGAGAGGUCGUUCGAGACUGUCAGACUAGAGGGCAGGAGAGGGAGGUGGAAUUCUGGGUGUAGCGGUGAAAUGCGUAGAUAUCCAGAGGAACACCAGUGGCGAAGGCGGCCUCCUGGCCUGUCCCUGACGCUAAGACACGAAAGCUAGGGUAGCAAACGGGGGAUUAGAAACCCCGGUAGUCCUAGCUGUAAACGAUGCAGACUUGGUGUUGGUGGUUUAAACGCCAUCAGUGCCGUAGCUAACGCGGUAAGUCUGCCGCCUGGGGACUACGACCCGCAAGGUUA